rnacentral:rRNA from 1 species
UAGAGUUUGAUCAUGGCUCAGGACGAACGCUGGCGGCGUGCCUAAUACAUGCAAGUAGAACGCUGAAGAGAGGAGCUUGCUCUUCUUGGAUGAGUUGCGAACGGGUGAGUAACGCGUAGGUAACCUGCCUUGUAGCGGGGGAUAACUAUUGGAAACGAUAGCUAAUACCGCAUAACAAUGGAUGACACAUGUCAUUUAUUUGAAAGGGGCAAUUGUUCCACUACAAGAUGGACCUGCGUUGUAUUAGCUAGUAGGUGAGGUAAUGGCUCACCUAGGCGACGAUACAUAGCCGACCUGAGAGGGUGAUCGGCCACACUGGGACUGAGACACGGCCCAGACUCCUACGGGAGGCAGCAGUAGGGAAUCUUCGGCAAUGGGGGCAACCCUGACCGAGCAACGCCGCGUGAGUGAAGAAGGUUUUCGGAUCGUAAAGCUCUGUUGUAAGUCAAGAACGGGUGUGAGAGUGGAAAGUUCACACUGUGACGGUAGCUUACCAGAAAGGGACGGCUAACUACGUGCCAGCAGCCGCGGUAAUACGUAGGUCCCGAGCGUUGUCCGGAUUUAUUGGGCGUAAAGCGAGCGCAGGUGGUUUAUUAAGUCUGGUGUAAAAGGCAGUGGCUCAACCAUUGUA